GAUGAACGCUGGCGGCGUGCUUAACACAUGCAAGUCGAACGGAAAGGCCCAAGCUUGCUUGGGUACUCGAGUGGCGAACGGGUGAGUAACACGUGGGUGAUCUGCCCUGCACUUCGGGAUAAGCCUGGGAAACUGGGUCUAAUACCGGAUAGGACCACAUUUUGGAUGGUGUGGUGGAAAGUUUUUCGGUGUGGGAUGAGCUCGCGGCCUAUCAGCUUGUUGGUGGGGUAAUGGCCUACCAAGGCGUCGACGGGUAGCCGGCCUGAGAGGGUGUACGGCCACAUUGGGACUGAGAUACGGCCCAGACUCCUACGGGAAGCAGCAGUGGGGAAUAUUGCACAAUGGGCGCAAGCCUGAUGCAGCGACGCCGCGUGGGGGAUGACGGCCUUCGGGUUGUAAACUCCUUUCGCUAGGGACGAAGCGUUUUUGUGACGGUACCUGGAGAAGAAGCACCGGCUAACUACGUG
rnacentral:rRNA from 1 species